rnacentral:tRNA from 1 species
GCGCGGCCUUGUAUUAACGAAAAACGGAUUCAAAAUCCGCCGGGUGCAAGCCCUUGUCGGUUCGAGUCCGACCGCCGGUACCA